GACGAACGCUGGCGGCGUGCCUAAUACAUGCAAGUUGAACGCAACAAAGACACCAGAGCUUGCUCUACCGUCUUUGUUGAGUAGCGAACGGGUGAGUAACGCGUGGGUAACCUGCCUUAUAGCGGGGGAUAACUAUUGGAAACGAUAGCUAAUACCGCAUAACAAUAGAGAUAGCAUAAUCUUUAUUUGAAAGUGCCAACUGGUACACUAUGAGAUGGACCCGCGUUGUAUUAGCUAGUUGGUAGUGUAAUGGACUACCAAGGCGAUGAUACAUAGCCGACUGAGAGGUGAUCGGCCACAUUGGGACUGAGACACGGCCCAAACUCCUACGGGAGGCAGCAGUAGGGAAUCUUCGGCAAUGGACGAAAGCUGACCGAGCAACGCCGCGUGAGUGAAGAAGGUUUUCGGAUCGUAAAACUCUGUUGUUAGAGAAGAAUGUUGAUUAGAGUGGAAAAUUAAUCAAGU
rnacentral:rRNA from 1 species